GCCAUCAUAACCUAAGAACUACCUGUAUUGUAUACCUGACAUGGGCGAAUCUCUGAAUCUCAGAAAGAAACUCUGCACAAAGGAAAGAGGAUUAAGCUUAUUUGGAAGACUCAAAGGAAGUUGAGAAGGCUCCCCACAACGAAGAAGAAGCAGUGGAGGAAAAUAUUACCCACAGGUAUCUCUGAUUUUCAAGCCAUUUAAGCAAGAAAAUGAGGAGAUGGGCAGAUUAAAAAAUGUGAAAAAUAAAUGAACAAAUAAAGCAACAAACUGAUUACAAAUAAAAAAUAAGCAGCAAUUUCGUG